CUACGGGCGGCUGCAGUGAGGAAUUUUGCGCAAUGGGGGAAACCCUGACGCAGCAACGCCGCGUGAGUGAUGAAGGCCUUCGGGUCGUAAAGCUCUGUCAAGUGGGAAGAACAUACAAAAUGCCAAUACCAUUUUGUACUGACGGUACCACUGAAGGAAGCACCGGCUAACUCCGUGCCAGCAGCCGCGGUAAUACGGGGGGUGCAAGCGUUAUUCGGAAUUAUUGGGCGUAAAGCGCACGUAGGCGGCCGCUUAAGUCAGAUGUGAAAGCCCGGGGCUCAACCCCGGAAGUGCAUUUGAAACUAAGUGGCUUGAGUAUGGGAGAGGGAAGUGGAAUUCCUGGUGUAGAGGUGAAAUUCGUAGAUAUCAGGAGGAACACCGGUGGCGAAGGCGACUUCCUGGACCAAUACUGACGCUGAGGUGCGAAGGCGUGGGGAGCAAACAGGAUUAGAUACCCUCGUAGUC
rnacentral:rRNA from 1 species